GUACACUCAGAUGAAAACCAGACUUACCCAGGAGUUACAGCAAGCCAAGCAUUCGCUCAGCGUCCUCCAGCUGGAGCUGGAGAAGGUCACAUCAGUGAAGCAGCAGUUAGAAAGGAGUUUGGAAGAAAUUAGGCACAAGUUCAGCAGAGCAGAACAAGCUCUUCAGGCGAGUCAGCUCACAGAGAAUGAGCUGAGGAGAAGCAGUGAGGAAAUGAAGAAGGAAAACAGUCUCAUUAGGAGUCAGUCUGAGCAAAGGACCAGGGAAGCCUGCCGCCUGGAGGACGAACUUGGUAAAGUCAAAGUGUGUUUGAGUCAGAGCCAGAGUUUUGCAGAAGAAAUGAGAGCUAAGAAUACCUCUCAGGAAAUCAUGUUACGAGAUCUUCAGGAAAAACUAAAUCAGCAAGAAAACUCACUAACUUUAGAAAAACUGAAACUUGCCUUAGCUGACCUGGAAGGACAGCGAGACUGUUCUCAAGAUCUUUUGAAGAAAAGGGAACAUCACAUUGAGCAACUGAAUGAUAAGUUAAAUAAGAUAGAGAAGGAAUUUGAAACUUUGCUGAGUGCUUUAGAAUUAAAAAAGAAAGAA
rnacentral:lncRNA from 1 species